GACGAACGCUGGCGGCGUGCUUAACACAUGCAAGUCGAACGGAGAUUUUAGCAAUAGAAUCUUAGUGGCGAACGGGUGAGUAACGCGUAGGCAAUCUGCCUUCUAGAUGGGGACAACAUCCCGAAAGGGGUGCUAAUACCGAAUGUUGUAACGAUUUCGCAUGAAGUUGUUACUAAAGGUGGCCUCUGAAUAUGCUACCGCUAGAAGAUGAGCCUGCGUCUGAUUAGCUAGUUGGAGGGGUAACGGCCCACCAAGGCUUCGAUCAGUAGCCGGUCUGAGAGGAUGAACGGCCACACUGGGACUGAGACACGGCCCAGACUCCUACGGGAGGCAGCAGUGGGGAAUCUUCCGCAAUGGACGAAAGUCUGACAGAGCAACGCCGCGUGAGUGAAGAAGGUUUUCGGAUCGUAAAGCUCUUUCGUUAGGGACGAACGUGCUCUUUGUGAAUAAUGAGGAGUAAUGACGGUACCUAAAUAAGAAGCCACGGCUAACUACGUGCCAGCCGCCGCCGUAA
rnacentral:rRNA from 1 species